CGACCAUUAAGCCCUGUAGCUUAGCGUUGGGAGCCUACGGUUGUAGCGUAGCUCCUCAAAGUCAGUGGCGGAGUUAUGGCGUACUCUGAGCGUAGUAAAUCUUUUCUCGCUUCUGUAGUCGCCCUAGCUGCCUGCCGUAAAACCCCCCAUUUUUUAA
rnacentral:misc_RNA from 1 species